CCUUCGACGUUAGCGGCGGACGGGUGAGUAACACGUGGGUAACCUACCUAUAAGACUGGGAUAACUUAGGGAAACCGGAGCUAAUACCGGAUAAUAUUUAGAACCGCAUGGUUCGAUAGUGAAAGAUGGUUUUGCUAUCACUUAUAGAUGGACCCGCGCCGUAUUAGCUAGUUGGUAAGGUAACGGCUUACCAAGGCGACGAUACGUAGCCGACCUGAGAGGGUGAUCGGCCACACUGGAACUGAGACACGGUCCAGACUCCUACGGGAGGCAGCAGCC
rnacentral:rRNA from 1 species